CCCUUCCCCCCUCAGAAAAAAGAGGAUCUACUCAUUAGCUAGCAAUCAAGGGUUGCGAACAGAUGCUGACUAUUAAAUACUUUGCAUCUUCUUCUAUUAUAAAAUUUUCAUUUAUGGGUUUGUUGCUUGCAUUGGUAGAAAGGAAUUGAUAAAAUCUACAUUAGAUAAAAAAUAAAAAUUUGCUUUUCUCAUGGACUUUCUUAUGAAGUCUUUGUAGAAUAAUCUUCAAAUUAUGUAUAGUAGCCUUAUGAAGUCAAGGAUUAAGGUGUCACAUAUGAUGCC
rnacentral:lncRNA from 1 species